UGGAAAGUAGCUCAGUGGUAGAGUGCUUGCCUUGCAUGCAAGAGGCCCUGGGUUCGAUUCCUCAGCAUCACAU
rnacentral:tRNA from 1 species